CUCGUAGGUGGCCAACUAAGUCAUACGUGAAAUCCCUCGGCUUAACCGGGGAACUGCGUCUGAUACUGGAUGGCUUGAGUUUGGGAGAGGGAUGCGGAAUUCCAGGUGUAGCGGUGAAAUGCGUAGAUAUCUGGAGGAACACCGGUGGCGAAGGCGGCAUCCUGGACCAACACUGACACUGAGGAGCGAAAGCCAGGGAGCAAACG
rnacentral:rRNA from 1 species